rnacentral:rRNA from 1 species
AGCGAACGCUGGCGGCAGGCCUAACACAUGCAAGUCGAACGGACCCUUCGGGGUUAGUGGCGGACGGGUGAGUAACACGUGGGAACGUGCCCUUUGGUUCGGAACAACUCAGGGAAACUUGAGCUAAUACCGAAUGUGCCCCUCGGGGGAAAGAUUUAUCGCCAUUGGAGCGGCCCGCGUCUGAUUAGCUAGUUGGUGGGGUAAUGGCCUACCAAGGCGACGAUCAGUAGCUGGUCUGAGAGGAUGAUCAGCCACAUUGGGACUGAGACACGGCCCAAACUCCUACGGGAGGCAGCAGUGGGGAAUCUUGCGCAAUGGGCGAAAGCCUGACGCAGCCAUGCCGCGUGAAUGAUGAAGGUCUUAGGAUUGUAAAAUUCUUUCACCGGGGACGAUAAUGACGGUACCCGGAGAAGAAGCCCCGGCUAACUUCGUGCCAGCCGCCGCCGUAAUAC